rnacentral:rRNA from 1 species
GACGAACGCUGGCGGCGUGCUUAACACAUGCAAGUCGAACGGAAAGGCUCCAGCUUGCUGGAGUACUCGAGUGGCGAACGGGUGAGUAACACGUGGGUGAUCUGCCCUGCACUUCGGGAUAAGCCUGGGAAACUGGGUCUAAUACCGGAUAGGACCGCACUUUGGUGUGUGUGGUGGAAAGGUUUUUCUGGUGUGGGAUGAGCUCGCGGCCUAUCAGUUUGUUGGUGGGGUAAUGGCCUACCAAGACGUCGACGGGUAGCCGGCCUGAGAGGGUGGACGGGCACAUUGGGACUGAGAUACGGCCCAGACUCCUACGGGAGGCAGCAGUGGGGAAUAUUGCACAAUGGGGGCAACCCUGAUGCAGCGACGCCGCGUGGGGGAUGAAGGCCUUCGGGUUGUAAACUCCUUUCGCUAGGGACGAAGCUUUUUGUGACGGUACCUGGAGAAGAAGCACCGGCUAACUACGUG